rnacentral:misc_RNA from 2 species
UUGAACUUAUAAUGGAGUUACUGUUGCUGGCCUCAAGGGGCAUGUGCACGUUUCUCUAGUUCUCAUAAUCCACCUGUGCAUCUUUUGUAGGAGUUCUCUUGGAUUGGCUUUAUAGGUCUCUGACCUUGUAGGUUAAUGAUCUUGAGAGGACUUCUAUGUUUUUACAAACCAAAAGUUGAGUAUGUUUUAGAAUGGUUGUUUUUAUUGGGACUUCAUUGACCCUUUAAACUUUAUA